AUUGAACGCUAGCGGGAUGCUUUACACAUGCAAGUCGAACGAGUGGCGGACGGGUGAGUAAUAUAUCGGAACGUACCCAGUAGCGGGGAUAAAUACCCGAAAGAGUGGCUAAUAACCCAUAACAUUGGAUCGGCCGGUUUCGGAUUAGCUUGUUGGUGGGGUAAAGGCUCACCAAGGGAACGAUCCGUAGCCGGUUUGAGAGGACGACCAGCCACACUGGGACUGAGACACGGCCCAGACUCCUACGGGAGGCAGCAGUGGGGAAUUUUGGACCAUGGGGGAAACCCUGAUCCAGCCAUCCCGCGUGUAUGAGAAGGCCUUCGGGUUGUAAAGUACUUUUGGCAGAGAAGCGGUAUCUGCAGAAUAAGCACCGGCUAACUACGUGCCAGCAGCCGCGGUAAUUC
rnacentral:rRNA from 1 species